AGGAAUAUUGGUCAAUGGGCGCAGGCCUGAACCAGCCAAGUAGCGUGAAGGAUGACUGCCCUAUGGGUUGUAAACUUCUUUUAUAAAGGAAUAAAGUCGGGUAUGUAUACCCGUUUGCAUGUACUUUAUGAAUAAGGAUCGGCUAACUCCGUGCCAGCAGCCGCGGUAAUACGGAGGAUCCGAGCGUUAUCCGGAUUUAUUGGGUUUAAAGGGAGCGUAGAUGGAUGUUUAAGUCAGUUGUGAAAGUUUGCGGCUCAACCGUAAAAUUGCAGUUGAUACUGGGUGUCUUGAGUACAGUAGAGGCAGGCGGAAUUCGUGGUGUAGCGGUGAAAUGCUUAGAUAUCACGAAGAACUCCGAUUGCGAAGGCAGCUUGCUGGACUGUAACUGACGCUGAUGCUCGAAAGUGUGGGUAUCAAACAGGAUUAGAUACCCUGGUAGUCCACACAGUAAACGAUGAAUACUCGCUGUUUGCGAUAUACAGUAAGCGGCCAAGCGAAAGCGUUAAGUAUUCCACCUGGGGAGUACGCCGGCAACGGUGAAACUCAAAGGAAUUGACGGGGGCCCGCACAAGCGGAGGAACAUGUGGUUUAAUUCGAUGAUACGCGAGGAACCUUACCCGGGCUUGAAUUGCAACUGAAUGAUGUGGAGACAUGUCAGCCGCAAGGCAGUUGUGAAGGUGCUGCAUGGUUGUCGUCAGCUCGUGCCGUGAGGUGUCGGCUUAAGUGCCAUAACGAGCGCAACCCUUAUCGAUAGUUACCAUCAGGUUAUGCUGGGGACUCUGUCGAGACUGCCGUCGUAAGAUGUGAGGAAGGUGGGGAUGACGUCAAAUCAGCACGGCCCUUACGUCCGGGGCUACACACGUGUUACAAUGGGGGGUACAGAAGGCAGCUACACGGCGACGUGAUGCUAAUCCCGAAAGCCUCUCUCAGUUCGGAUUGGAGUCUGCAACCCGACUCCAUGAAGCUGGAUUCGCUAGUAAUCGCGCAUCAGCCACGGCGCGGUGAAUACGUUCCCG
rnacentral:rRNA from 1 species